ACGCCCUCAGCCCCAGCCUGAGGGCCCGGGGGGCUCUGGCAGCCCGGCCCCGGCUCUGAACAACCCCGGGCUGAACAAGCCCGGCUAACGCAGGUGCUCGGCUCCGCCCUGCGACACGAACACACGAGCAGGCAGGGCUGACAUGGCCGCUGCCCUGUCACAGCACAGCCCAGCACCGAGACCUCCAGGCUCUGCUGUUUCAAGCUUACCUGCAGAUUCUGCUGAAUGCGAGCAGGAGUGACACUCUUGGGAAUGACAACCACUUUACGCUGCACUUGCCAUCUGCAAGAGGAGAUUUUGCCUUCAGUACAUUCUACAAGGAAGUCUUUGAAGAUAGCAGAUAUUCCAAAGAAGUGACUCCCAAUGACUUCCAAGGAAAUCCAGAGAAGAUAAGUGGAUCCUGUGUGUGGUUCAGCUGCCAGCAGCACUGCUGAUUAUGGCAAAAUCCAACUGAAUUAGGUUUAAAUUAUGCACUAACAGGAUCUGUCCUCGUUCCUUGCUAAGGCCACACAUUUCUCAGAACAAUUAGUUCACAGAAUAAACAACACAUUCACAUUUUGUUUGUUUAGUUUCAGACAUUUGCUUUAGGCAAAGCAUAUUUAACUGUUUUGAGUGGACAGAAAUUCAUCCAUUAAGUUUGUGCAUGUUAACAAACGUAAUUCAGCUGUCAUUUGAUGUUUUAAGUGGCAAAGCUGCACAUUCACCCUUUUCCUCAUUUAAGAGGUUGACUGAGCUCUCACACCAACUCAGCUUCCACAUUAGCACAACUUCUAUUCCCAACAGAUCCACUGUCCUGACAGUUGUUUGGACAGGAAAACCCACAGUAAAAUGGCUCUGAAUAGAUUUAAUUUUCUUAGCUUGUUUCCCACCUUUUCCUCUAGCUGGCAUGAGAGAAUUGCAUGUCCUGAGAAAAGUUUUAACUUUCCCUCUCAGUCAUGAGAACAAUGUCAUCCAAGAUACUCCCAACAACAUCAUAAAGCUCACCCAGGAGUAGCAGUGAGACAUCCAUUUACUGCACAGUGAUGUGCAUAACCCAUAGAAGCUGUGGAUGCCCCAUCCCUGGAAAUGUUCGAGGCCAGGGUGGAUUGACCUCUGAGCAGCCUGGUCUAGUGGAAGGGUCUCCCUGUCCACAGCAAGGAAUUGGAACUAAAUGGCCUUUAAAGUCUCUUCCAACCCAAACCAUACUGUGAUUCCACAAUUCUUUGAAUGCCAUUUAGGAAUUCCACCAAGCAGUGGACAUUACCUUUCACAGGAAGUACAUACAAUUUCUUCCCCAAAAAAAUUGUAUUUUUUAACUAAAUGAAAGAGAUACUAAAAGACAGACAAAGGGGAGAAGCAUUACAAUAGCAGGCACACCAUGGAGCACACAAACAUUCCCACAGACUGUUUGUAGUAACAACAAAAUUGUUUCCAAGUGUGAUGUUUGCCAAUUCCCUGCAUUCAGAAGCAGAGUGAAUGUCUACUGAUACAUGAGUCUUCUUAUUCUGAAAGCAGGCUGACCCAAGCAAGUUCUUUGUUUUCCUGCUAACCAUUGGCUGGCUGCUGGAACAGGACUUAUUACAAGAACAACUUGAGCUUCUGCCUUCCAAAAUAAUGCUUUCUGCCGAGUCAUCAGCCUAAGCCAGAGGGGUGUCUGGUCAGACUGGCAGCCUGAGGACUUGCCAGUGGAAGAAUGCAGCACCAUGUUAUAGAAACACCAUUCACUGAUCUUCUGGGUUUAUGUCCCAGAGCUCCACUGCCCAAGGCCAGGGCUAACAAGUCUGAAGGGAUCUUGCUUUUUGGAAAGAACUGCUGUCUUUACGCCUUAGGCCUUAGUCAGGAAAAUACACACAUACAUGCAUUCAACUUCAAUGGACUCAAGACUAAAACAGCUCAAGCAAAGAAAAGAUCCAGGCUUCAGAUCUGGGACCUUCCAAAAAAGUGCACAAACACACACACUAGUUGAGAGCACAAUAUCCUAUUGUUC